GAUCAUGGGAGCAUGUAGUAUAAGUGAGAUGUCAGAUAAGCAAUUUUGUUUGAUAAGUGAGAUGGUUUGACUCGGUGUCCCUACUGAAACCUCAGCUGGGAUUAUAAUCCCCACAUGUGGAGGGAGGGACCUUGUAGAAGGUGAUUGGAUCAUGGGGGUGGUUUCCCCGUUGCUGUUCUCGUGAUAGUAAGUUCUCACGAGAUUUGAUGGUUUAAAAGAGUAUGGCUUUCCCUCCCUCUCUCUCCUGCUCCUCCAUUGUUAAGACGUGUGCGCUUUUCCUUCACCUUCCACCAUAAUUGUAAGUUUCCUGAGACCUCCCUGUUAUGCUUCCUAAGCCUGCAGAACGGUGAAUCUUUUGACACUUUGAUGCCAAGUGUCAUUACCUCUGUCUAGUCUGUGAAUUGCUGAAUUCUCGAUACCCCAGACUUCACCUGGCAAAGAGACAAGUAGCUCAAUGUCAAGAGAAGUAACUGUGCAUCAGAGACUAUGGAUAGAUGUGGCUUAACUUCAGACUGCAUGACUUCAGAGAGGAACCCAGAUGGAGAUGGCUGGACUUCAGGGAAAGAUCACCUUCUUCCCACACCAUCCCCUUUCCAGCUCCCCUUCUGCUGAGAGCCACUUCCACUGCUUAAUAAAAUCUCCACAUUCACGAUCCUUCAAGUCCAUGUGACCUGAUUCUUCCUGGAUGCUGGACAAGAACCUGGGUACUAAGAGGGAGCGUGUAAAAGGUUGUCACCCUGACUCUCCACUGAGCUGUUUAACACUUAGCCAUCUGUGGGUGUCAACUGCUAAAAAAAAGCAUUAAUUGUAAUGCACUCCUAGAUGCAGCCAUGGGGCAUGAGCCCAGAAGCACUUUCCAAAGCCCUGGCACCCACUUGCCUGUGUGAAGGGUUGAGCCCAUCAGGUUUGAGCGAGUGAAGUUUGUGCCUGCCAGCCCCAAAGAGGGCAGGUGGACCCGGAGCUGGUGCACUCAAAUUCCCACCUGUGAAAGGGCCAAGGGAACUCUCCCAUCUCAUAAGAAAUCCUUAAUCUCUACAUCCUCAUCAACACUUGUUAUCAGUUGCCAUUCUCAUAAUGGAUAUUUAACUGGAGUGAGGUGAUAUCUCAUUGUGAUUUUGAUUAUAUUUCCUGAUGAUUAGUGAAUAUUUAUUGAGUACUUGUAUUUAUUGAGUAUUUAUUGAAUAUUUGUUGAGUACUUAUAAUUAUGCCAGGCACUAUAAUAGUUACAUAUACAUUAAUGAAUAUACUUCCUAAUCCAAAGAGAGUAUUUUCUGUUCUUUUUACUAUAUUACUUGUGUAUGUAUAUGUAUGUAUGUCUGUAUAUAUAACUAUUUUCAUUGUGUACUCACUGAGUGCUCAGGCACUAAUCUAAAUAUCUUACAUGAAGUAACAUAUUUCAUCUUUACCACAAAUCAAUGAGGUAGGUCAUAGUACUGGUUACCACUUAUCAUUUAAUGUUAAGGGGAAGGACACCAAAGCAUAGAGCUAUUGUAUGAAUGUUUGUGUCCCUUCAAAAUUCAUAUAUUGAAACCUGAUCACCUGUGUGAUGGUAUUAGCAGGUAGAGCCUUUGUGAGGUGAUUAGGUCGUGAGGAAGCAGCUCUCAUAAACAGAAUUAAUGCUCUUAUAAAAGAGACCCCAGAGAGUUGCCUUGUUCCUUCACCAUCUUGAAGAUGCAGCCAGAAGGUGCCCUUUAGAAGGUAGAAAGCAGGGCCUCAACAGACAUUGAGUCUGCCUUGAUCUUGGAAUUCCCAGGCUUCAGAACUAUGACAAUAAAUUUCUGUUGUUCGUAAGAUACCCAAUUGAUUGAAUUUUGUUACAGCAGCCCAAACAGGCUAAGACAGAGAAUUUGAGGGCCUUUUACAUUUCACCCAGCUGGUUGAACUCAGACUAUUCUACAGCUAAUGCUCUUUUCCAUUACAGUCUAGUUGUAUAUUGGAUAUCAAAAGCGAAAUUCAAUGGUUAUGUCAUUUAAAGGAAAAUGUAUAAACAAUAAUCUAAAUUAUUUAAAAUUUAAAAUUUAAAAUUCCAGUUUUCUCUACUAAUUCCUUUUAAACUUUAACUGCUUUUGUCUGAACUCAUAAAGUAACCGUUUUUAUAUUCAGGUUAUACAUUCAUAUUUUAGAAUUAUAUAUUUUACUGUUUAUCUAAACGUGCAAUCCAAUUAAAGUAACAUUUUCAUUAAAAAAAAAAAAAAAAACUUUGAAUAGCUGGGUGUGGUGGCUCACGCCCAUAAUCCCAGCGCUUUAGGAGGCCAAGGCAGGAGGAUUGCUUGAGCCCAGAAGUUUGAGACCAGCCUGGGCAACAUGGUGAAACCUCAUCUCUACAAAAAAAUACAAAAAUUAGCCAGGCAUGGUAGCAUGUGCCUGUAGUCCCAGCUUCUUGGGAGGCUGAGGUGGGAGGAUCACCUAAGCCUGAGAAGGUUGAGGCUGAAGUGAGUCAUGAUUGUGCCACUGAACUUCAGCCUGAGUGACUGAAUGAGACCAUGUCUUAAAUAAUAAUAAUAACAAUAAUAAAAUAAAACAUUAAAAAUCUGAAUAGCAUUUUUCCUGCUCAGUACUCUUUUAUUUUUGAGUGAUAAUUGAUGAAAGUUAUAUAUACAUAUAUAUUUAAGGUAUGCACUAUGAUGAUUUGAUAUAUGUAUAUAUUGUGAAAGAAUGAGCACUAUUGAGCUAAUUAACAUAAUUGUCAUUUCACAUAGUUACCAUUUUUUAUGGUGACCUCAUUGAAGAUGUAUUCCAUUAGCAAAUUUCAAUUAUCUAAAACAUUGUUAUUAACUAUAGACACCGUACUGAUCAUUAUGUCUCCAGAACUUACUCAUUGUAUAACUGAAAGUUUGUACAUUUUAACCGACAUCUCUCCAUUUUCCCCAUGGCCUAACCCUAGCAAGCAUUCUUCUACUUUCUGUUUCUGUGCAUUUGACUUCUGUAGAUUUCAUAUAUAAACAAGAUCAUACAGUAUUUGUCUCUCUGUGUCUGGCUUAUUUUACUUAGCAUAAUGUCUUCCAGGGGCAGACAUGUUGUUGCAAAUAGCAGGAUUUCCUUCUUCUGAAGGCUGAAUAGUAUUUCAAUGUAUGUGUGUGUGUGUAUAUCACAUUUUAAAAGAUCAUUCAUCCAUCAAUGGACACAGAUUGUUUCCAAAUUUUGGGUAUGAUGAAUAAUGCUACAAUGAACAUGGGAGUGCAGAUAUCUUUUCAAGAUAAUUAUUUUAUUCUCUGGAUA
rnacentral:lncRNA from 10 species